GCUGAUGCGUUGUUGGGUAGGGGAGCGUUCUGUAAGCCUGCGAAGGUGACCUGUGAGGGUUGCUGGAGGUAUCAGAAGUGCGAAUGCUGACAUAAGUAACGAUAAAGCGGGUGAAAAGCCCGCUCGCCGGAAGACCAAGGGUUCCUGUCCAACGUUAAUCGGGGCAGGGUGAGUCGACCCCUAAGGCGAGGCCGAAAGGCGUAGUCGAUGGGAAACGGGUUAAUAUUCCCGUACUUGGUGUUACUGCGAAGGGGGGACGGAGAAGGCUAUGUUGGCCGGGCGACGGUUGUCCCGGUUUAAGCGUGUAGGUGUGUGUUCCAGGUAAAUCCGGUUCACUUUAACACUGAGGCGUGAUGACGAGGCACUACGGUGCUGAAGCAACAAAUGCCCUGCUUCCAGGAAAAGCCUCUAAGCAUCAGGUAACAUCAAAUCGUACCCCAAACCGACACAGGUGGUCAGGUAGAGAAUACCAAGGCGCUUGAGAGAACUCGGGUGAAGGAACUAGGCAAAAUGGUGCCGUAACUUCGGGAGAAGGCACGCUGACACGUAGGUGAAGUGAUUUACUCAUGGAGCUGAAGUCAGUCGAAGAUACCAGCUGGCUGCAACUGUUUAUUAAAAACACAGCACUGUGCAAACACGAAAGUGGACGUAUACGGUGUGACGCCUGCCCGGUGCCGGAAGGUUAAUUGAUGGGGUCAGCGUAAGCGAAGCUCCUGAUCGAAGCCCCGGUAAACGGCGGCCGUAACUAUAACGGUCCUAAGGUAGCGAAAUUCCUUGUCGGGUAAGUUCCGACCUGCACGAAUGGCGUAAUGAUGGCCAGGCUGUCUCCACCCGAGACUCAGUGAAAUUGAACUCGCUGUGAAGAUGCAGUGUACCCGCGGCAAGACGGAAAGACCCCGUGAACCUUUACUAUAGCUUGACACUGAACAUUGAGCCUUGAUGUGUAGGAUAGGUGGGAGGCUUUGAAGUGUGGACGCCAGUCUGCAUGGAGCCGACCUUGAAAUACCACCCUUUAAUGUUUGAUGUUCUAACGUGGACCCGUAAUCCGGGUUGCGGACAGUGUCUGGUGGGUAGUUUGACUGGGGCGGUCUCCUCCUAAAGAGUAACGGAGGAGCACGAAGGUUGGCUAAUCCUGGUCGGACAUCAGGAGGUUAGUGCAAUGGCAUAAGCCAGCUUGACUGCGAGCGUGACGGCGCGAGCAGGUGCGAAAGCAGGUCAUAGUGAUCCGGUGGUUCUGAAUGGAAGGGCCAUCGCUCAACGGAUAAAAGGUACUCCGGGGAUAACAGGCUGAUACCGCCCAAGAGUUCAUAUCGACGGCGGUGUUUGGCACCUCGAUGUCGGCUCAUCACAUCCUGGGGCUGAAGUAGGUCCCAAGGGUAUGGCUGUUCGCCAUUUAAAGUGGUACGCGAGCUGGGUUUAGAACGUCGUGAGACAGUUCGGUCCCUAUCUGCCGUGGGCGCUGGAGAACUGAGGGGGGCUGCUCCUAGUACGAGAGGACCGGAGUGGACGCAUCACUGGUGUUCGGGUUGUCAUGCCAAUGGCACUGCCCGGUAGCUAAAUGCGGAAGAGAUAAGUGCUGAAAGCAUCUAAGCACGAAACUUGCCCCGAGAUGAGUUC
rnacentral:rRNA from 1 species